rnacentral:rRNA from 1 species
UCAUUCAAUAAUGAUCCUUCCGUAAGGUGACCUGCGGAAGGAU